AUGUCACUCAUUGUUCAUGUAGACAUGAACAACAUGAACAAUGGUUGCCUUCUUUCUGAAUGUGUACAAGUUCCGAAGUUUAUUGCUCACCGUGGCCUUGUCUUUCUGAGUUUUUGGGAUGAUAAUCUUGGCGUCUACAUCAGCAUUAUAUGUUUUUUCUUUCCGAGUUUUUGGGAUGAUAAUCUUGGCGUCUACAUCAACAUUAUACCAUACCAUUUUUGUGAAGAUAUCGUAUGUGGUGCUAAGUUGCUGCCCGUGGCGAAAUCUGAUCUGCAGAAUUAUCUUUGCUUCCAAAUGACACGGCUCAUACAGAAGCGGGGCACACCGCAGUCAACAACACUCGGUAGACACGGCAGAGUUUUCCUUGCCGUGUGGCUUCGGACGGUGCUGCCCGUGGUGCAAGUUGUACCUUUCAGCAAACUGAAAUUGUACUUUUCUAAAUGGAUGAAGUCUUAA
rnacentral:rRNA from 1 species